AUACGAAUUUUAUGUUUUGUGUUCGGUGACCGUAAUGUUAUUAUCUGUGUGAUAAGGACAGUGUUAUUUAUUUAUUUACUAAUACUAUUAUUAUUAUUAUUUUUAUUAUUAUUAUUUUCCACUGCGAUUUCUCCAAAACCGAAAUGCGUGUGCAUGGUUUAACGACGACCGCGGCGACGCGUGUGUAUACUACUCAGUAGUGCUAUGACUAUGACGAUGACGGAGGCCGUUCACGCGCGGGGUGUACACGCGUCGUCGUCACCGCAGCGGCGGCCCUUUAUUGAUUUUUCCGUUUUCGCGUGUCGUUCGGUUGUUGUUGAUAAGGAGAGUGAAUUUUUUCCGUCGACGAUCGAUAAAAUUUUUUGCGGGGGUUCUCCUUCUCCGUUGUUUUUCGCCUUCAUCGCCUCGGGCCGGUCGACGAAGACGAUGGCGCGGCGAUCACUGCACAUGAAAAUAUUUACGGAACCGGAACUAAUGGCAGGAAAAGGCGCUCACGCACACGCACACGCACACACAUAACCACACACACAACACACAUACACGCGCGCGCGCUCGGAGUAAACAAACAAACAUAGGAAAGACAACGGCCCGAAAGUACGAGGAAAUCGAUUGCGCGGGGGCGGCGGUGGUAUAAACAAAACGAGUGAAAAUUAUACAAGACGAGGAAGUAGACUAUCUGUUUAAUAUAAUCUAAUCGGCCCGCGUCCCCGACUCGGGAAUAUAACAUUUUUCGACGUAUUAUGAUAACUACUACUACUACUACUACUACUACUUGCCAGCUGCCACAAUUCCGACGUGUCUCUCUCUGCUCCCAUUUACUUAAUUUUUUUUUCGUUCCUUUUGCUUUUCGCAGUUCCGUGCCGAUGUGUUAUAUCUGUCAAAACUUCAUACUCCAGUGGAUUUCUACGAUGGUGAUUGUGUAAUGCAACUCACGACUGCAAUGUGAUGUCACUGUUUGAUCCAACUCAUAUGGCUAUACACCAGAUUGUCAUAUAUUGAUGAGUAUUUAGUUUCUGAAAUCUAUAAGAGAUAUUUGAUUAAUAUAAGGCUGAACUGAUUGAUUACCAGAGACGUUUGAUACUCACCGAAUACUACAAAUUCACUGGUUUACAUACAAAAGAAUGGUUAUCACAAGAU